CUGGCCUUAAUUUCGAUAUAAAGUCUGAUCUUUCUGAUAGAGGAUCGAUAUCAAUUGGUAGUUCUAGAAAUCAGACUGAUGUGGUGCAUCAUCUGCCGCAGAUUAAGGACAGCAUCAAGAAGUUAUAUUUUUCUGUUAAAGAUAUUAUAGGAUUUUGUUGUCACAAGAGAUUAUUGACUAAACUUUUUUGUGAUGGUUUGGAAGUAAAUGAUAUAAUUUAGUCUAUCAAACAGUUGAUAAAAUUUUAUUCUUUAUGUACAGUUGGAAGUUGAUAUUUUUUCUAAAUCAAAUUUCUUGCGUUUAAUUUUCUGAGACGGUUUGCUUCUGGAUCUUAUAGACGGUUGAUUCAGUUAUAGGUAAAAAAUUUUAUUGC
rnacentral:lncRNA from 1 species